UACGGGAGGCAGCAGUGGGGAAUAUUGCACAAUGGGCGCAAGCCUGAUGCAGCCAUGCCGCGUGUAUGAAGAAGGCCUUCGGGUUGUAAAGUACUUUCAGUCGUGAGGAAGGUGUUAAGGUUAAUAACCUUAGCAAUUGACGUUAGCGACAGAAGAAGCACCGGCUAACUCCGUGCCAGCAGCCGCGGUAAUACGGAGGGUGCGAGCGUUAAUCGGAAUUACUGGGCGUAAAGGGCACGCAGGCGGUUAAUUAAGUUGGAUGUGAAAUCCCCGGGCUUAACCUGGGAAUGGCAUUCAAGACUGGUUAGCUAGAGUCUUGUAGAGGGGGUAGAAUUCCAUGUGUAGCGGUGAAAUGCGUAGAGAUGUGGAGGAAUACCGGUGGCGAAGGCGGCCCCUGGACAAAGACUGACGCUCAUGUGCGAAAGCGUGGGGAGCAAACAGGGAUUAGAUAC
rnacentral:rRNA from 1 species